GUGCAGCAGGCGCGAAACCUCCGCAAUGCGCGCAAGCGCGACGGGGCCAUCCCGAGUGCCGCUCGCUGAGGGCGGCUUUUCUCCGGUGUAAGUAGCCGGAGGAAUAAGGAGAGGGCAAGUCUGGUGUCAGCCGCCGCGGUAAUACCAGCUCUCCGAGUGGUGGGGACGAUUAUUGGGCCUAAAGCGUCCGUAGCCGGCUUGACAAGUCUCCCGUUAAAUCCAGCGGCCUAACCGCUGGGCUGCGGGAGAUACUGUCAAGCUUGGGGGCGGGAGAGGCCAGCGGUAUUCCCGGGGUAGGGGUGAAAUCCGUUGAUCCCGGGAGGACCACCAGUGGCGAAGGCGGCCGGCCAGAACGCGCCCGACGGUGAGGGACGAAAGCUGGGGGAGCGAACCGGAUUAGAUACCCGUGUAGU
rnacentral:rRNA from 1 species